rnacentral:lncRNA from 1 species
CUGGAUCCCUGAUUGGCUCAUUCGACCAUAUGUCCAGUCAACAGCCAAAGCUUCCCAGCCUGCCUCUCCACCCAUGCCCAGCACCUCUUUGCUGCACUUCUUUUUUAUUUCUUAAAUUUUUUUCAUUUCAUUGUGACCUGAGAAAAAGAAAAAUAUAAAAUGACUUCCAAUCCCAGGUGGCAACUUCAGUGUCUGUAGUGAUGUAAUCAGAGAUCCAGAAAUGAAGACAAAAUGUGGUAAGAGUCAUAUUCUUUGACUAUCUACAAAUAUUAUCUGCAUGUAA